UUUAGAAAAUCUCCCUCAGAACAUGUCAAAAAGUCCAGGCUUUCAGAUUCACUGAUAUAUAAGGCUUAUCUCCAGAUCUGCCCUAGUUUGUUGCUUCUGAGAUUAGUGACAGCAGCCGGGCCACCUCAUAAAUGUCCUAAAUGAUCCACAGCACAGGUAGGAGGAGAAGUGAGUUCAAUUCAGAACCAAAGGAUGAAGUAAUUGUCCAGUGUUCCAUGUCGCACCUGGCAUAGUAGGGGAUACAGAAGUAUAUGCUGUCCUAGCCUUUAAGAAGCUGCAAUGUGGGUGAAAACCGAUACCUUAUCCCUACUUACAGAACAAAAAGUGUGGCAUAGGCAUUAGAUGUAAAGAUCAACUGGGAAGGGGAGAGAGACUGCAUUUUAGCUGUGUGAUCUCUGGAAAAUUAAUUAAAGUCCCUGAGCCAGUUUCUCAUCUGAAAAAUGGGGAUAGUAAUUAAAAGCUAUCCCACAGGACUGACAGGGGGAUGAAAACGGAUAAUAAAUAUAAAGUAUUUAGCACUGUGUCUAGUUUCUCAUAAAACUGAAUAAAUGGCAGCUGCUGCUAUCAUCAUCAUCAUCAUCAUCAUCAUCAUUUCUCUAGACAUCAAAUACAAAGAUUUAUUAAGCCAUUACGUAUUGGGAGUGGUGUGGAUCCAAGAAUAAAGGCUCCUGCUCUCAAGGAUCUCCCUAUGUAGCUGUUUUAAACCAACUCAGGGCAGAUUAUUUGCUCCUUUAAAAAAAUGUUCCCGCAUAACGAAACAAAGGUCAAAGAUAAAUACUCAUCUAAAGAAAAUGUGAGACAGUAUAAAUAGAGAUGCAAUUAGAAUCAAUGGAGGGUUUCCACCUGCUAUCAUAUUUCUGUUGAAGGAUCCUUUUUUUUUCUUUGCUAGGACACACUGGGAAAGUGUGAGGGGGUGGCUAAGAUGGCUCUAAGCCAAAUCCACCUAGAAAUAGACCAACCUCUGGCAGAGGAUUAGAAAAGAGGAAACUAAAAGGAUAAGGAAAAAAAAUUAUUAGAACCACAGAUAAACAAAAAUUUCUGGUGCUUGAGGAGCAGACCAAAAUGAAACCCCACCUCGAGCUCUAUGAUCCAGGGAAUUAACCCGGGUGUGAGAACGCAGGCCCACAGGGCUUGUGGUGAGUGAGAGGGUCAAUUCCCCAUAGCUUGAUCCAGCAGUGGAAGCUUAGCACGCAGAACAGUGUUACAGAAUAACAACAAAGAGAAAAGGUGAUCAGAAAAAAAAUGAACGGAUGUUUUUUUUUUCCUUGGUGGAUUACUGUGACAAACACAGAAUUCAGAACCCAGCUGGAGAGAGAAAGUUUAUUUCCAGAUUGGAGAAAAGAACAAGGAGAAGAAAAUUUCUACCAAUCAAGCAAGCUUUUCAAGGUGGUUUUGCUGGCCCUGACAAAAGCGUGUACAGAAAAGCCACCACUCUCACAGCCUCAGUUUACAUUCACAGAAGGCAGCUGGGUGGUGAGGUCCCUGUAAUAAGAGGAGGAAGAUGAGAUCGAGAGUCAAAUUCUAACAGACUCAGAUGCUCCCUGCAGACUGCUGCCUCCACCCCGUAUGUUUAAAUACUACUCAAUUAGGAUCAACAUUCAUUUUUUAUUAAUGCUCUUCUGAGACAAUGACUCUUUUAUCUGCAUUUUAUCUUCCAGCUACAUUAAGACCAAGGACACUCUCACAGAAGAUCUAAAGGAGGAGACCCUGAUGAAUUGAGAGUUUAAAAUACAAAUGGAACUUCCUUUGUCAGUCUUGAUUUGUUUUAUUAACAUCUGAAGGUUGAUUUAUAACAGAUUACCAAGCAGGAGAGAACUGUUUGUCCAAUCACUUUACUUAACACCCACAAUUAGAAAAAACAAACAUUCAAAAAUGUUUCCUUUCUAUGGGCUAAUGGAUGGCACAUUCAGUUCUAAAAUAGUCACUUCCAUCUCUGUCAUCUAUUGUAGCAACCAAGGACAGGCGUACCCUAUCUCAAGACCACAGAAAAACAUUCUCUGCAAAAUGAAGGUUUCAGAGACCUAGUUUUUCCAUGAACACAACAAAAGCUCCUGUACAAGGUUUGUGGUAAUGAUGAGAGUUCUGACGGUGGAAUCAGAUGGAGCUCAAAUCCUGUUUCAACUUGUAUAAGCUUUGUGACCUUGAGUAAGUUAUUUAACCUAAGCCUCCAUUUUGUCAUCUAUAAAAAUGGAAAUAUUAAGAACCAUUGUGACUGAUGCGAGGAUGAAAUGAGACAAUGAACGUGCUGUCUGACAUUAUAAGGAUUCAAUAAACAGCAGCUGUUA